GACAGAGGAUGCAAGCGUUAUCCGGAUUUAUUGGGUUUAAAGGGUGCGUAGGCGGCCUAUUAAGUCAGGGGUGAAAGACGGUAGCUUAACUAUCGCAGUGCCUUUGAUACUGAUGGGCUUGAAUGAACUAGAGGUAGGCGGAAUGUGACAAGUAGCGGUGAAAUGCAUAGAUAUGUCACAGAACACCAAUUGCGAAGGCAGCUUACUAUGGUUUUAUUGACGCUGAGGCACGAAAGCGUGGGGAUCAAACAGG
rnacentral:rRNA from 1 species